AGAACGAACGCUGGCGGCAUGCCUAACACAUGCAAGUCGAACGAGACCUUCGGGUCUAGUGGCGCACGGGUGCGUAGCGCGUGGGAACCUGCCUUUAGGUUCGGAAUAACUCAGAGAAAUUUGAGCUAAUACCGGAUAAUGUCUUCGGACCAAAGAUUUAUCGCCUUUAGAUGGGCCCGCGUAGGAUUAGCUUGUGGUGGGGUAAUGGCCUACAAGGCGACGAUCCUUAGCUGGUCUGAGAGGAUGAUCAGCCACACUGGGACUGAGACACGGCCCAGACUCCUACGGGAGGCAGCAGUGGGAAUAUUGGACAAGUGGGACGAAAGCCUGACUCCAGCAAUGCCGCGUGAGUGAAUCGAAGGCCGUUAAGGGUGUAAACGUCCCGUUUUACCGGGAUCGAUAAGUGACAGUACCGGAG
rnacentral:rRNA from 1 species